rnacentral:lncRNA from 1 species
AUUAGCUGGCCCGAUUCACUAUUAAUUCUUUAGCUUCAAUACAUCAAUUAUACAUAUAUUGUGCAUGAAUUUUAUAAAUAUAUAUAUCCAUAAACUCUUUCCAAUUUAAACAAUUAGCUUUCCUUUAGCUGCUACUUUUUCCCAGUCCACGCCCAAUCAGAGUAGUCAAUGUGCCUGCUCCGUCCUCUUUGACGAAAUGGAUGCUGUAAGAGGUUGACUUUGAUCUCAUGCUGGCCUUUACUUCGGCUACUAAUAAGGGGGUUGGGGUUUGAAUGAAUCCAUUUUCCUCUCCUCCCCACUUCCACCUUCUUUGUAUUGGUUUUUGUGGAAGAUCCGGGUCGAAAGGAGCGAAGGGAAAGUGCCCGUCUUGACCGACCAACUUCCGAAAUGUCCUUGCUGGCGACUAUGUAGCUCAAUUCUACAAGUUAUAAACCCUUGAUAGAUUAAUUCCAAACACUUCCUGUACAAGAUUUUCACUAACAUAUGAUCUAGUCUUGUGCAAUCUCAUCCUUGCAUAGUCUAAUUUUUGAGAGUGAUAUUAGCCCACAAGUGCCAGAGGUUUACUUGCUGGUUGAAUAGUAAUUGCCUUUUUUGGUCUUCAAUUUUCAUUUUGUUGUUGAGUAAAAAACUUCCAAUACUUCAAAAAGUGCUUUCUUUUCCAUUGAAAUACCCUACAAAGACAUGCGCCAAAUGUUGAAAACUCUUUUUUCUGCCAAAUCUGGAUUAAAUCUAGUAUAUUCUCAAAAUGGGCAUCAAUGAGUGGGAUUAGUUGCUUUUAUUUCCCCAUCUUAAGCACCCUUCUUAUUUGGUCCUGAUGUCUUACAGAAAUCGGGUUUCUUCAAAUUCCAGAAGAUGUUACUUGCACGGAUCUUUUUAAAGGAUUAUUUUCGGAACCUAAACUCAAAAAUUAUUUGUUCUUCACGUGGCAUGAUUUCCUGGUAUUUUUCUCAUUUUUUCCAAAAUGUGUGAAAGUUCAAACUAUACCAUUUAGAAAUUAGUGUGUCCUUACAAGUCAAGUCUUCUUUCAAAAUUUUAAAAAAUUAGGAUCGACGUCAGCCGCUGGAUACCAUAGAUUUGGAAUAAUUAGACAGAUAGGUAACUAGGAAUAAAAAUAACAACACAGCCCAUGACUUCGGGACCAAUUUGACAAUUUACUUUAUGAAAAGGAUAAGUUUUUUGACAUUGAAAUGGUUGUUCAAAUUUAUGCUCUAAUCUUAUUCUCUCUGCAACUUAUGCUAGGCUUGAUGAUCUGAUGCGAGCUAAUUUUAUUCUAUCUGCUUAUGAUGCCCUAAUAUAUACAGCAUUUCAAUAGGACAACGUCGUAUUGUCCGCAGUAGACAAGUGAAAAGCAAAUUCUCAUCCUAUAGCAUUACUUUUCUUGACGUCGAAUCAAGCCCUAUCUUAUAUGGUUUAAUUGAAUUGUCAAAUUGGUUCGAGGUUGUGAGUUCGAGUCUCCCCAAGAGCAAGGUGGGAAGUUCUUGGAGGGAAGGAUGCCGNNNNNNNNNNNNNNNNNNNNNNNNNNNNNNNNNNNNNNNNNNNNNNNNNNNNNNNNNNNNNNNNNNNNNNNNNNNNNNNNNNNNNNNNNNNNNNNNNNNNCUCUCUACCCAAGGGUAGGGGUAAGGUCUGCGUACACACUACCCUCCUCAGACCCCACUAAGUGGGAUUAUACUGGGUUGUUGUUGUUGUUGUUCCCUGUGUAUGCAAAAGGUUGGUGAUUAGACUCCCAUUCUAGCUCUCAUUCUUAUUUGGUCCCCAGUGCAGAAUCAUUUUCGAUGUCCUGUAUUUUCGCAAUGACAAAUCGAAACAAACUGAAUCACCAGUCAGUUAAAAGUAGAGAAUUUCACCAACCUGUUCUAUUCAUGUCCAAAUACCCAUGGCAUAAGCUAAACUAACUUCACGUUAACACUUGACAUCGGCUGCCUUACCACAGGAAAGAUACAAAGUUUAGUGAGGUCAGAUCACACACCAUCCAAACUCCUAGGCUCCAAUUUUCUACAAGCCGAAAGAAGCCAAAAUGUUACUGCUACGUAAUUUGUCUGUUAUCAUAAUCACCUACUACAAAUAACCCCUUUCUCUACAUAUGCUUGCAGUAAAAUCUAACGCAUACUACUUGGUGAAGCAAAUUCGAACUUGGAUAGGCUGUUUGGUACUCACUUACAACAAGAAAAAAGACAUUAAUGUUGUCCCCAACAACCAUAGCAGCUUUGGUUGGCAAUUGAAAUUUGAAAAGCUCGUUUCAUUUUUAGUUGCAGCAGCUGGUGUUACUGGAGAAAUGCUUGGUUCAGGCAGCUCACAUAUCCCGUAAGUCAUGUGUUCC